rnacentral:lncRNA from 1 species
UCAUGAACACAUAUAUAUCCAACACAUAUCCAUGAACACAUAUCCAACACAUGUUACCAAUAUAUAGUCAUGAACACAUAUAUAUCCAACACAUAUCCAUGAACACAUAUCCAACAAAUAUUACAAGGAAUGAUCUAAAACUAAAUAUCUAUUUUCCUAAAAACUAUCUUAUUACUAAGAUCUUCUCUGGAUCUUCUUCUUUUCUUCCAACCUGCAUAACAAAAACACUAAGAAAGAGAGAAUGGGUUAGGAGUAGAAAUGUAGCAUUUCACUUGGUGAAAUGCAAUGCUGUAGGAGCCAGUACUUGAGAUCAAGAUAAUCUUAGUUAAGAUCCUGAUUUUCAAAGUGAUCUUAAUUAGAAAGCCAAAUAGAGUAAACCAAUACCAAAGAGCCAAAGAAGAGAACCAGCCAAGGACCCAAUCAAGAAGCCACCACAAUUAGCAGUAAGUUAAAUGCCAACACAAAGACCACUAUCAGUACUAGCUCCAGGAAUUAAGCCAACUAAAAACUAGUGAUUAAAGCCAAAGAUUAGACUUCAUCACCACAAUCAGUUUUGUCUAGUGACAAUAGGUACAUGUCACUGUGUAACGCCAAAAACAAAAAUGCCAAAAACAACACCAAAAUCAAACACAAGGAGAUAAUAGGAGAUAUACAUCACAACCAGCCAACCAGGCCAAGUCCCAACACAUCCAACUACCACCAGCUUAGAAGAGAUAACUAUUAAGGAGAGCUACAGAAGACCUCAAGGUAUACUUGAGGGAUUAUGUGCUCAGACAGCCUGGAAGUGCCAGGGCUAGUUCAUCACAGCCUAAGAGAGGGGGGCUCAGACCAGCAUCACUGCCCAAAUCAGAUGUAGUAUCUGUCUUAUCAGUAGAAAACUAGGAAAGUAACAGCCAAAACCAAGUAUAGUAUCUGUUCAUAGGCUAUUAGAAAGAGACAAAUAGGAAUAGCCAAACCAAGUGGUAUCUGUUCAUGUCAUUAUUAGAAGUAAAAUAACUAAGAACAAGUGAGUAUCCGUUCAUGAGUAAAGUAACUGACCAAAGUAAUAACUCCAGGAUCAACUACACAGAACAGAGCAGUACAGGAGUAUAUAUACUUCACAAAUACACAUAGAUGGUCACUGACCAAAACCCUAACACAGCAAGAAUCCAUCACAGAGAGCUCCAAUACAAGUUGAUGCUCAUCUACAGCAGCUAACCAUAGCUAAUACAGCCUCACAUCCAACAAGAUCAAGAGCUAUGCAUUAGAGAGAUCAGGAGGGGAGCAAGGAGAAGCUCACCAAAAGGAGUUGUAGCCGAAGCAGGAUGCAGCCACACCAUCACUAUGGUGUGACCAGCAUCACAACCAACACCACCACAACAAGCCGGAGCUUGCCAGAGAGCACCACAACGGCGGCGCCAGUGAGAGCACGGGCACGAAGGCGCCAACCAGGGGCACCGCAGCACGGAGGCG